rnacentral:rRNA from 1 species
GACGAACGCUGGCGGCGUGCUUAACACAUGCAAGUCGAACGGAAAUGCCCUGCUUUUGUGGGGUGCUCGAGUGGCGAACGGGUGAGUAACACGUGAGUAACCUGCCCUUGCCUUUGGGAUAACUUCAGGAAACUGGGGCUAAUACCGGAUAGGAGCCCCUGCUGCAUGGUGGGGGUUGGAAAGUUUCGGCGGUUGGGGAUGGACUCGCGGGUUAUCUGCUUGUUGGUGGGGUAGUGGCUUACCAAGGCUUUGGCGGGUAGCCGGCCUGAGAGGGUGACCGGCCACAUUGGGACUGAGAUACGGCCCAGAGUCCUACGGGAGGCAGCAGUGGGGAAUAUUGCACGAUGGGCGGAAGCCUGGUGCAGCAACGCCGCGUGCGGGAUGACAGCCUUCGGGUUGUAGACCGCUUUCGCCUGUGACGGAGCGUGAGUGACGGUAAUGGGUAAAGAAGCACCGGCUAACUACGUG